ACUGCAACCCCGCCAUGUUUUGAUCCAUCCAAAUCCUUGCCCAUUGAAGAUGUGAAGGCAGUACUACAGUUUUGCAGUGCCUGGAAAAGCGAUAUCAGUGCGGAGGUGCAGCUGGAAUCAUUUUCAGUGGGCGCUGAUUUUUUUCUACAGACUUGUCGAUGAAACCGAAUGGAUGAGCUCAAGGCACCUGGACAUGGCAACCUUUCUUAUCCGCAAAAGGCAACUAUCUCAUCCGUUGGUUUUGGGAACGGACUGGACAACG